CCUCUAGCGACCCAGGCCCGGGUGCACCUGGGCUCCGUCGCGGCUGCCUCUGGCGCCGGCGUUGGCUCCUGCGAGUUUGCCCGGGGCUUGGCCCGGGUAGCUGCUGCCCGCCAGCGCGCCCGCCCGCAGGCUCCCAUUCCGUGGGUUGUGCCGCCUUGGCCUCCUUCCUCCACCUCUUCCCACACUAGAGCACAGCCUCCUCUCCUCUCUCUCUGUUGGGUGUUUUCUCAAAGUUUUUCGUUUUCAGACACUUAGGACAGAAACUCUCCCUUCUCUUCUUCGGCUGUGUAUUUCAGUGAUGAAUCAGUCUCUGCGGACCCAGAGAGGGUAGCAGACGCAGAAACGAAACGGAUAGAGGUGUGCUGCCUUCUUUGAAUCUAGAGACCCAUCUUGAAUUAUGAACAGAAGCCAAAAAUCUGGCUCAGCCCUGGCCCCUCGCCCCUUUUCUGACUUUCUCUUCCUCUUUCCUACUUUAAACGCCCUUGUUGUUAAAAGACUUGCAGGAAGCCAUCCAACUCGGCUGGGCCUAGUCUCAAAAGGAGAGGCUGUGCGGUGCAGAAAGGCUUUUGAGUUGUGCUGAGAGCUUUUUUUUAUUAGAGAAGAAUUCCGCAGAUUCAUGCCCCCUUGCUCCCUCCUCUUCUUGGAUGUGAUGUUAGUUACUGAACCCAUUUUCCUUUCAUGUUUCUCUGACUUUCCUAUCAAAGCCAUAGGGGAGCAAAAUAAUCUCAGUCAUGUACUAGGAGUGCCUCUAAGUACAGCCAUGCGGGUGAGGGUGCAGCUAAACUGCUGAAUAGAUCAUUUCUGUGUUGUCCUCAGCCUUUCUUCACAUGCAGCCACCAACUGGGGACUGAGCAGGGAGAGAGAGAGCUGCAAGUUGACAAGGCGCAGUGCUACAGUGGCGGCUGGCUGGACACAAGACAAACACCUGUGAAACACCUCUGAGGUUGCCCUGAAGCACCUGGGGAUGUGUAUUGCAAGAAAAUGGCUGAAGUUUGAACUGCC
ensembl:lncRNA